CACGUAGGGUGCGAGCGUUGUCCGGAAUUAUUGGGCGUAAAGAGCUUGUAGGCGGUCUGUCGCGUCUGCUGUGAAAAUCCGGGGCUCAACCCCGGACUUGCAGUGGGUACGGGCAGACUAGAGUGUGGUAGGGGAGACUGGAAUUCUCGGUGUAGCGGUGAAAUGCGUAGAUAUCGAGAGGAACACCUGCGGCGAAGGCGGGUUGCUGGGCCGACACUGACGCUGAUGCGCGAAAGCCAGGGGAGCGAACGGG
rnacentral:rRNA from 1 species